UCUCUGCCGCCCAGUUACAAAAAGUGGCAACUUCCCCUCCGGCCCGCAGACUGAUCGCUCAUUUGAAUGCGUUUCCUUUUCAUUAAGAACAAAGGUUGGAGUCCGAGCCUCGCGGCGCGGCGGCCGGAAAGUACAAGAUGUGUGUCGAGAGCAAACACACACACACACACACACACAGAAUGACCCACGAGAAAGGGAAAGGGGAAAACACCAAUCCUGCGCUGGGCUUUUUCGACUUUUCCUUUAAAAAGAAAAAAGUUUUUCAAGCUGCGCGGGCUUCCUGUGCGCGGCUGAGCCGGGGCGCAGCGCGACGGUCCCAUCGGGCGGCCUCCACCCUCGGGACGCGAGCGGAGCGCCGAGCCCAGCGGCGAUCACGCGACGCGGGGAAGGAAGGAAGUGUGACUACCACUUCACUUUCAUAUAUCUCCUAAGACACAGCUGGACUCAGUGAAUUCAUUUCCUCUAUCGCCAGAGAGAGUCAGAGAACCCAGUUUGGAAAGUGAGACACAAAAAUCAGUCUGAGAAAGUAAAGUUUAUACGUACAAAGUGGUCUCUCAAAAUUCUUAACAAG
rnacentral:lncRNA from 1 species